GAGAUAAAAAGGUACUUUCUCAGUGCCCUAUUAUAAAGGGAAAAAAUGUGUAAAACUUGGUUGUAAAAGGCAAACCGCACAUACAUUAACAUCAGGAAUUAAUUGCUUUAGCCAUUUUUAGCAUUGGAGAGCAUGAAAGAUGAUAUUUAGUAGCCAUGUGAAUUCCACAUACCAUCUGUCCUUAACAUUGGACUCGUACUUUUGUAUUCCGAUUUUAAAGAUUUACACAGUGCAGCUGUUCAUCACAUGCAGUUCACACACGAGAGUCAUCCUGUGUGUAGACAGAGUGCAUGGAUUAAAUAGUUAUUACUUUAAAACUGUAAACAAAGUAAAAUGUUUACCCACCAGCCCCAAUAUUGGAUUUCCCCCAGGUAAUUCUUGACAGGGUUGUGUGACCUCUCCUCUUAAAUCCUGCCCUCUAAAAUUAUGAGUAGAAAGGUGAAAACUCAGUAGGUGUUAGGUAAUAGGAAGAAUGUUAUGACCAGCCAAUUUCAUUCAUGCCUGCUUUCUGUCUUUUGGAGCCCAAAUUUCAACAGGGGAGCAACUCUACCAUGUAAAAUGCCUUUGUGGCUAUGCUAGCCAGUUUACUUUCUGAUAGAUGUCCCAAGGACAAGUAAAACAAUCUGUAAGUUCUCCAUGCCCUGCAGCCUUCUCCCAGGUUCCUUAUAAAUCAAAUGGCAACCCACAAACAAAAGGGAACUACUGGUCUGAGUUUAGGAGACUAAAUAAAGCAAGGCUUCUUUUUGCCUCAAGCAGGUCACAUUUUCAUGGGUGAUGGACUAUCUGAAUUUCAUUUGUCAAAAGUCUUUUUAGUUUUUAGGUCUCAGGUCUGGAGACCUUUCUGGGUGGAGUCCUUGCAUGUGACCUUGAAGUUCUCUAGUGCAGUGACUUCCUUUAUUGGCAGCCUCUCCUAGGAGACCGUCAGUGCACAGAGCCAGCACCCCUGCCUCCUGACCUUCUGCUUUUGACUCGGUGUUUUCUUUUUUUAAUUGUUUAUUUUCAUUCUUAUUUUCUAAGUGGUUGCCUUUAGAUUUAUGGAAUUGAUGUUUCCACUUAAAAUAUCUUACCUUUCUCAAUAUGAAGAUUUCAGGACACAGGUUAAAAAAAAAAAAGGAAGGUGAAAGGGUUCUAUCCCUAGAUUUCAACAAUCUGUCAUGAUAGUUCAGGAAGCAUCAUUUGGUCACUAAAACUAUCCCGUGGGACCUGAGAUCUCUGCAGGCUUGGUGUUUCCUGUCAAAAACCCACCCAGAGUCAGCAGCCUCUCUUCAUUUCGUGGCUGCUGUAUUCAGGGAAACAGCUUUGGCUCUUGUGUCACAGCUGCUUUUAAUGAGAAGGACAGGCUCAUGCAUGGCACUCUUGGUUAAUGUCUGCGUACAGGUUCAUGCAUGGCACUCUUGGUUAAUGUCUGCAUUAAAUGGUUUUUGGUUUUCAUAACUUUCCUGAAGAAGUAGCUAACUCACUUCCCUGCUCCUCACAUGCUGGCUUGUCCUGAGCCACAGGUUUUGAUUCUUGCAAUGUAUGUGCCUUAUUUUAUGUUUCCUUGUCAAUGAGAAGGACCAGUUGCUGUUGUCCAGUCAGCACUCAGAGGCUGCAUGCCCAGACAGUGUUACCAGGAAACGAGCACAGGACUGUGGCGGUGGUCUGCAGUGUUGGGUGAUCUGAUUUCCUGGGUUGUUUGAAGCUAAUAGGAGGGUGUUCUCCUCUGACAAGUUACCCUUGUAUAUCCUGCAAAUGUGUAAGAUAAACUGUGUUCCUUUUCUCCAUCAUUUUUUAGAUUUUUAAAGAAUAAAAUGUGUAAUCCUUUUUAAAGAACAACACAUGUAAAUACAUUCAAGUAUUGUAGAUGUAGAUGGGGAUGUGAUGGCCUUGGGCCUUCCUUGGAAAAGCCUGUGGCUGCUCAGUGCUCAUAGGCCAUGGGAAUGUCAGCCCAGACACAUGAACUCUGCCUUGGCUUUCAGAACCACUUAGUCCUUUUGUAACAAAGAAAAAUAAAUAAUAAAAAUGUUUCUUACAGUGUCAAUAAAACAAAACCUUUGUAC
rnacentral:lncRNA from 1 species